GUGCCAGCCGCCGCGGUAAUACGUAGGGUGCGAGCGUUAAUCGGAAUUACUGGGCGUAAAGCGUGCGCAGGCGGUUGUGUAAGUCAGAUGUGAAAUCCCCGGGCUCAACCUGGGAACUGCAUUUGAGACUGCACGGCUAGAGUGUAGCAGAGGGGGGUAGAAUUCCACGUGUAGCAGUGAAAUGCGUAGAGAUGUGGAGGAAUACCGAUGGCGAAGGCAGCCCCCUGGGUUACUACUGACGCUCAUGCACGAAAGCGUGGGGAGCAAACAGGAUUAGAAACCCCUGUAGUCC
rnacentral:rRNA from 1 species